rnacentral:rRNA from 1 species
CAGCAGCCGCGGGAAUACGUAGGUGGCAAGCGUUGUCCGGAUUUAUUGGGCGUAAAGCGAGCGCAGGCGGUUCCUUAAGUCUGAUGUGAAAGCCCCCGGCUCAACCGGGGAGGGUCAUUGGAAACUGGGGAACUUGAGUGCAGAAGAGGAGAGUGGAAUUCCAUGUGUAGCGGUGAAAUGCGUAGAGAUGUGGAGGAACACCAGUGGCGAAGGCGACUCUCUGGUCUGUAACUGACGCUGAGGAGCGAAAGCGUGGGGAGCGAACAGGAUUAGAUACCCGUGUAGUCCCUGUCUCUUAUAC